rnacentral:other from 1 species
AGAUCGCUGCCCGGCCCGUCAGGAUACAUUCCCCGGGGCCUUACAUUCUCAAACGGGAGCUGCCUCUGCGCUGGACCGUGGUCCGUUGUACGCGGCGCCCACCUGGCCAUUAGGGUCCAGGGCGAAAAACAUUCCAACGGCCAGGGCGGCACUCAA